rnacentral:rRNA from 1 species
AUUGAACGCUGGCGGCAUGCCUUACACAUGCAAGUCGAACGGCAGCACGGGAGCAAUCCUGGUGGCGAGUGGCGAACGGGUGAGUAAUAUAUCGGAACGUGCCCGGUCGUGGGGAUAACGUAGCGAAAGCUACGCUAAUACCGCAUACGAUCUACGGAUGAAAGCGGGGGAUCGCAAGACCUCGCGCGAUUGGAGCGGCCGAUAUCAGAUUAGGUAGUUGGUGAGGUAAAGGCUCACCAAGCCGACGAUCUGUAGCUGGUCUGAGAGGACGACCAGCCACACUGGGACUGAGACACGGCCCAGACUCCUACGGGAGGCAGCAGUGGGGAAUUUUGGACAAUGGGCGCAAGCCUGAUCCAGCAAUGCCGCGUGCAGGAUGAAGGCCUCGGUUGUAACGUG